rnacentral:rRNA from 1 species
UACGUAGGGUGCAAGCGUUGUCCGGAAUUAUUGGGCGUAAAGAGCUCGUAGGCGGUUUGCUGCGUCGGCUGUGAAAUCCCGAGGCUCAACCUCGGGUCUGCAGUCGAUACGAGCAAACUAGAGUGUUGCAGGGGAGACUGGAAUUCCUGGUGUAGCGGUGGAAUGCGCAGAUAUCAGGAGGAACACCGGUGGCGAAGGCGGGUCUCUGGGCAGUAACUGACGCUGAGGAGCGAAAGCGUGGGGAGCGAACAGG